UUCUUUUCGAAACUAAUAUUAGAAUAGAAAUAUGAAUUUUUUUAUCUUAGGAUUGUUAACAAUUACAUGUUGUAUAAUGGUAAUUGUGAAAGGUAGACCUCAAGAACUAAGAAAUUGUUUAAAGCGCUGUAGAAAAACUUCUGAAUAUUCAGAAUCAAGAAAACUAAAAUGUAGCGAUAAAUGCAUUGAUCGAUAUUUCAGUUCACCAAUAUACCCGGGAAAAUAGAAGAAAUCAAGAAAUUGUGUUUAGUAUUAAUGUUGUAAGG